rnacentral:rRNA from 1 species
AAGGAUCAUUACAACAAGGCCACGGGCCCCUCGAAGCUUCGGCGGAAAAGGGGUACCGGCCUGACUUAUACCCACCCUUUGUCUAUGUGUACCUCUAUCGCUUCCUCGGCAGGCUCGCCUGCCGCUAGGAACCACUUAAACCCUUUGCAUUAUACAUUAACACUUCUGAUACAAACCAAAACUAUUACAACUUUUAACAAUGGAUCUCUUGGUUCUGGCAUCGAUGAAGAACGCAGCGAAAUGCGAUAAGUAGUGUGAAUUGCAGAAUUCAGUGAAUCAUCGAAUCUUUGAACGCACAUUGCGCCCCUCGGUAUUCCGUGGGGCAUGCCUGUUCGAGCGUCAUUUACACCCUCAAGCUCUGCUUGGUGUUGGGCGUCUGUCCCGCCUUCGCGCGUGGACUCGCCUCAAAGUCAUUGGCAGCGGUCUCACCGGCUUCUCGCGCAGCACAUUUGCGCUUCUUGGAGUUCCGGCGGAUCAGCGUCCAGCAAGCACUUCUAUGACUUGACCUCGGAUCAGGUAGGGAUACCCGCUGAACUUAAGCAUA